UAAACCGCACAAUUAUAUUGACCACUGCGUUGAAAUAGAAAAUAAAAAUAAAUAAAUAGUAUUAUCUUACUAUUAAAUCUUAUCGGCCACGAAAAUUAGGAAAGAGUAUUGAAAAAUUGGGGUUAAGGAAAAGGUGAAGGGUGAAGAGCUGUUUAUCUCUCGAGUGCUGAAAAAAAGGUGCCAUUGUCCAUUUCUCGAUCCGUAAAUUUUGCUGAAAUAGCAGAAAGUUAUAUGGAUAGCAAAUCACCGAGCAAUAAGGCAUCUGAGGAGCUGUCACGUGAGUUGCUUAUUGCUAUAUCUGAUUCUUUACCAGAUAAAAUUCUGGAUUCAGAUUUUGUGCCUGAAAGCAAGGACACAGACGGAUUUGCAAGACCAAAAGGUGAUUGGCAUGACAAAUUUAGGUCUGAAUUGAUUUCAAUCUCCUAUGUUGAAUCUCCUGAUGUCGAAAUCUGAUAAAUUACAAGGGAGUCCAGACUGUUGGUAACUUAUGCUACCCUUCUGGUUUGUUAUGUGGAUGAAUUUCUGCUGUGCCAAUUGUUGUGAAUUGGUUAUACUAAGUGGGCCAUCUUGCAACCCACAUGUAGAUACUCUCACCAGUCACAUGCUUGGUUUGUUAUGUGGAUGAGCCUAUUUGUUUCAAUUCUUUUAUAACAAAAAAUAUUUUGAAAAA